rnacentral:rRNA from 1 species
GCCACACUGUCUCCUCCCGAGACUCAGCGAAGUUGAAAUGUUUGUGAUGAUGCAAUCUACCCGCGGCUAGACGGAAAGACCCCAUGAACCUUUACUGUAGCUUUGCAUUGGACUUUGAAUCGAUCUGUGUAGGAUAGGUGGGAGGCUUUGAAGCGUGGACGCCAGUUUGCGUGGAGCCAUCCUUGAAAUACCACCCUGGUUUAUUUGAGGUUCUAACCUUGGCCCGUUAUCCGGGUCGGGGACAGUGCAUGGUAGGCAGUUUGACUCGGGCGGUCUCCUCCCAAAGUGUAACGGAGGAGUUCGAAGGUACGCUAGUUACGGUCGGACAUCGUGACGAUAGUGCAAUGGCAUAAGCGUGCUUAACUGCGAGACUGACAAGUCGAGCAGGUACGAAAGUAGGACAUAGUGAUCCGGUGGUUCUGUAUGGAAGGGCCAUCGCUCAACGGAUAAAAGGUACUCUGGGGAUAACAGGCUGAUUCCUCCCAAGAGUUCAUAUCGACGGGGGAGUUUGGCACCUCGAUGUCGGCUCAUUAGUACGAGAGGACCGGAGUGGACGAACCUCUGGUGUAUCGGUUGUCACGCCAGUGGCAUUGCCGAGUAGCUAUGUUCGGAAGAGAUAACCGCUGAAAGCAUCUAAGCGGGAAACUCGCCUUAAGAUGAGACUUCCCAGAGCCUUGAGCUCUUUAAAGGGUCGUUCGAGACCAGGACGUUGAUAGGCUGGGUGUGGAAGUGCAGUAAUGCAUUAAGCUAACCAGUACUAAUUGCCCGUAAGGCUUGUCCCUAUAACCUUAGCAGGUUA